rnacentral:rRNA from 1 species
UACGUAGGGGGCAAGCGUUGUUCGGAAUUACUGGGCGUAAAGCGCGCGUAGGCGGUCUGGCAAGUCAGAUGUGAAAGCCCCGGGCUCAACUUGGGAACUGCAUUUGAUACUGCCAAGCUAGAGUACAGAAGAGGUGACUGGAAUUCCCAGUGUAGCGGUGAAAUGCGUAGAUACUGGGAGGAACACCGGUGGCGAAGGCGGCUACCUGGACAGGUACUGACGCUGAUGCGCGAAAGCCAGGGGAGCAAACAGG